CUCAGAGCGGACGGAGCCGAGGGGGCGGGGGCUCCCUCCCGGGAGCGUUUCUAGAGCUCGGAGGCAGCUAGUAGGGGUUUCAUUGUCCACAUGUUUAAAGUCUAACAGAAAAAAAAAAUCACUGGAUGUGAAGUUGGGAGACAGAGCCAAGUCUACAUCUACAUCGUCAUGCUGGUAACCUUGGGGCACCACUUUCAGAUAAAAACAUAGACCUGAAUGGCAUCAUCCAGUAUCCAAGGAAACC